rnacentral:rRNA from 1 species
ACCUACGGGGGGCAGCAGUAGGGAAUUUUCGUCAAUGGGCGCAAGCCUGAACGAGCAAUGCCGCGUGGACGAGGAAGGUCUUCGGAUCGUAAAGUUCUGUUGAAGGGGAAAAAGAGCGGAGAGAGGAAAUGGUCUCCGAUUGAUAUUACCCUUCGAGGAAGUCACGGCUAACUACGUGCCAGCAGCCGCGGUAAUACGUAGGUGGCGAGCGUUAUCCGGAAUGAUUGGGCGUAAAGGGUGCGUAGGCGGCCUGCUAAGUCUGGAGUGAGAGGUACCGGCUCAACCGGUACAGGCUCCGGAAACUG